AUUGAACGCUGGCGGCAUGCCUUACACAUGCAAGUCGAACGGUAACGGGCCUUCGGGUGCCGACGAGUGGCGAACGGGUGAGUAAUACAUCGGAACGUGCCCGAUCGUGGGGGAUAACGAGGCGAAAGCUUUGCUAAUACCGCAUACGAUCUACGGAUGAAAGCAGGGGACCGCAAGGCCUUGCGCGGACGGAGCGGCCGAUGGCAGAUUAGGUAGUUGGUGGGAUAAAAGCUUACCAAGCCGACGAUCUGUAGCUGGUCUGAGAGGAUGAUCAGCCACACUGGGACUGAGACACGGCCCAGACUCCUACGGGAGGCAGCAGUGGGGAAUUUUGGACAAUGGGCGCAAGCCUGAUCCAGCCAUGCCGCGUGCAGGAUGAAGGCCUUCGGGUUGUAAACUGCUUUUGUACGGAACGAAAAGCCAUCUUUUAAUACAGGAGGGUCAUGACGGUACCGUAAGAAUAAGCACCGGCUAACUACGUG
rnacentral:rRNA from 1 species